rnacentral:rRNA from 1 species
UAAGGAAUAUUGGUCAAUGGACGCAAGUCUGAACCAGCCAUGCCGCGUGAAGGAUGAAGGUCCUCUGGAUUGUAAACUUCUUUUAUCUGGGACGAAAACGGGAUUUUUAUCUCAAUUGACGGUACCAGAGGAAUAAGCACCGGCUAACUCCGUGCCAGCAGCCGCGGUAAUACGGAGGGUGCGAGCGUUAUCCGGAUUUACUGGGUUUAAAGGGUGCGUAGGUGGGCUUGUAAGUCAGUGGUGAAAUCUCCGAGCUUAACUUGGAAACUGCCGUUGAUACUAUAGGUCUUGAAUUAUCUGGAGGUAAGCGGAAUAUGUCAUGUAGCGGUGAAAUGCUUAGAUAUGACAUAGAACACCAAUUGCGAAGGCAGCUUACUACAUAUAAAUUGACGCUGAGGCACGAAAGCGUGGGGAUCAAACA